rnacentral:rRNA from 1 species
GACGAACGCUGGCGGCGUGCCUAAUACAUGCAAGUAGAACGCUGAAGAGAGGAGCUUGCUCUUCUUGGAUGAGUUGCGAACGGGUGAGUAACGCGUAGGUAACCUGCCUUGUAGCGGGGGAUAACUAUUGGAAACGAUAGCUAAUACCGCAUAACAAUGGAUGACACAUGUCAUUUAUUUGAAAGGGGCAAUUGCUCCACUACAAGAUGGACCUGCGUUGUAUUAGCUAGUAGGUGAGGUAAUGGCUCACCUAGGCGACGAUACAUAGCCGACCUGAGAGGGUGAUCGGCCACACUGGGACUGAGACACGGCCCAGACUCCUACGGGAGGCAGCAGUAGGGAAUCAUCGGCAAUGGGGGCAACCCUGACCGAGCAACGCCGCGUGAGUGAAGAAGGUUUUCGGAUCGUAAAGCUCUGUUGUAAGUCAAGAACGGGUGUGAGAGUGGAAAGUUCACACUGUGACGGUAGCUUACCAGAAAGGGACGGCUAACUACGUG